GGUGACAUUCCAUGUCCCAAUUGCCAGUCUUGGUAGCCAGGGAUUGGUCCACCAGGACCUCCACAUUGUACCCGACCCCUACGGUGCCUCCUGCAGGUGGUGGGCCUGCAGGAAGAUGGGUCCAUGUCCCUUUUUCAGGCUGUGACCAGCCAGGCCCCAUGGACUAAGGCCCGGCCACCAGACGCUUGCCCUCGGGCACCCUCCCCGGGCCUGGCUCCAGGGCAGGGAUCCAGUAACCCUAUCCCAGGCAGGGUGAACUGUUCCCUCGAUGGUCUUGUCGUAGGGGUCUAUUUCAUCUAAUUCAAAAAAGGACAUCAGUGUCACAUCUUUGUAUUAAGUACACAGUGGCAUUCAGGAUGUGGAUAAUAUAGUCUGACACCAUCUAUACCAACAGAUUGAAGCAGAUUUAUUUAAACGAACACAAAAUGUCCCCAUGAAGCUUGUAACUUAUUUGCUUACCUAGAUUUUCAGUAGCUCAUAGAGUCUUCUUGUCACAGUCAAAAUGCUAGAUUUGAUGCCAGGUAGAAAAUUGUGAUUUUAUUUCCAAACAGCAGACUUGAUUUAACAAAGGUGAGCCUGUUUAUUCAGGCUGCUGACAAAUUCAAUCAAACAAAAAGUCCAAAAAGCAAGGCAAACCUAAAUCCACAGGAACAUACUGGGACAGAUCACAGACAUUGUCCCACCAACUUCUUACCAUUCAGCUCACUCCUCAGGAUUUGCCUGACUCUCUGCAGGUGCUUACUGGUUGCAGCUCUCCUAGUGGCCUCUUCAUGGUUCAAAUUUGUCUGUGGGAUUCUUGUAGCUGUCCUCUAAGUCUGCAAUGUUGCCUUCUGGUAGUGUGAUCCCCUCGGUUGUAACUACCUAUAUUCAUAUAUAUAAACACCCUGAGGACCAGUCUCAGGGUGUGAGACUGGUCCCCCCACUGUGAUGAAAUACAUCACAGUGGGGGGAAAGAAGGUACAGGUAAAUACAUUAUGAGAUAGUCAAGUGACUGAAAAUGAAACCUGACUAGAGAACCAAACACAGACACUGAGAGAAACAAAAACGAAACUUUAAUACAAACUGGAAUUAAGAACUUAAGACUGGAAAGUCUGAAAUGCAUAAGGCUGGAAAUGUAAAUAAACAGCAAACAGAAAAACAAACAGAAGAUAUUUAAUAAUUAGCAGUACCUGAAAGUCCAAAAGCAUGACAAAUUGGGUCAACAACACUGGACCAUCCUCUUUUCAGGAUCCAGCACUGUGAAGUUCCCAAUUAAACCAGAAGGUCCACUUAAAGUCACGAGAUGCAACGUAUAAUUUUGCUGUUGUACUGAAAUAUUUAGAGGACAAAUGUCCCUAUACAUAUCUGGCUUGUUAGUAAGGUUGAAGACACUUCUGGAUCUUCAUUAAUUAUGUUAAGAGGCAUUAGAGUGUGAGCCUCCAUUCUCAUUCUCUCUCUUUGUCUGUAUUUCACAGGAGGAAGCUAUAAAAAGAUCGGAUACUACGACAGCACUAAAGGCAAUCUGUCCUGGUAUGGGAAUGACAAGUGGAUAGGCUCUGGACCUCCUGCAGACCAGACAGUGGUCAUUGAAGAGUUUCGCUACCUGUCUCAGAAGCUCUUUGUGUCUGUGUCUGUCUUCGCUGGGUUGGGAAUCCUUCUGGGAAUUGUCUGCCUCACUUUCAAUAUUUACAACAGCAACGUCAGGUACAUUCAGAACUCUCAGCCCUACCUUAACAACAUGACAGCAGUAGGCUGCAUGAUGUCUCUGGCUGCUGUCUUUCCUCUGGGUAUUGAUGGCCUUCAUGUCCACAGGAAGCAGUUUCCUAUCAUCUGCCAGGUACACUUUUAAAGUUGCAUCUAACACAAUGAUUUAGCUAAAGACUUUUAACACUGAUGAUUAAUUUCCUAGUGCUAAUUAGAAUUAUCGUUCUUUACUGAACGGCAACUACAAAAUUCAGAAAAUGAGUGGCAGGUGGUUAACACAGGACAGCAGGAGUGGAGCAGAGCAGGUUAGCAUGGUAAGGCAUAGGCUGACAAUCAGAAAUAGGGCUGGGCGAUAUGGCCUAAAAUCCAUAUCACGGUAUAAUUUGGAGCAUGU